AAAAACAAAGAUUACAAAAAAUAGAAAAAGCUAUAAUAGAAUACUUAAAUAUAUACGAAGAUCAAUAUACCAGAAAAUUUUUAUUUACAAAGAUAUGUUAAUUAAAAUGUAUAAGAGCUUUAAAGUGGGAAUUCGAGGAAUUAGAAAUAAAGUCUACAUUUUUACUAAAAGAAUAAAAGACUACAGGGAACAAUGUAAAAUAACAACUAGGAUAAACUAUAGUAAAAAUAGCUUCUCAAAAAAACCUAGAAUAUUUAGAUUUACAUAUAAAUGUAGAAAAGAAAUUUAAAAGUCUAAAAGAUGAUAGUGUAAUAAAGUGUAAUUUUGAAAACGGAGGACACAAUUUACACACUACAAAAGACUCUCAAUAUAAUACCCUAAUAGAAUUAAUAAUAAAUUUUAGCGAAAAUACUAGAGAACAUAAUAAUACAAUUACAGAAUUACUAGGUGAACAAGAAGAAACUCUAAAUAGACAAAAACAGUUUUUCAACAAAAUAGAGGGUAAUUUAGAUUAUAUUAAGGAACAAGAAAUUGAAUUUAAAUAAUAAAUUAAGCGAACUAAAAAAACAAACAAAAAGAAAAAGUUAAUAAUUCAUUAAUUAUAAGACUACAAGAGAUAAAAAAAGAAUUAACAUUAUUAAAAGAAAUAGUUAUUUCAUGAUAGACUUAGUAGAAACUGAGUCACACAAAGAAUCUACUACGUUAAUAGAAAAAAGAAUAUCUCUUCCAACAGAUUACAAAGAAGUUAAUCCAUCUUCAAAAUCAGAUCAAGUUAUCAUAAAAUAAAAUAAUAUAAUAAUAACAUUAUUUUUUCUUUUCUACUAUAAUAGAAGAGACUUGUUUCAACAUGCCUGUUACACAAGUCUAGGGGCAUUUUAGUCUUUUCAAUUCUAAAUUGUUACUACGUGUCUUAUUGCUGUGUUUUCAAUUUUAGACGUUCCUCUUUAGUUGUCUUCAUCGUUUAUCUCAGUGCACAUCAAAGGUCUUCUCCUUUCUCUACCAUUCUAUCCAGGCUUAUGUUUCUGCAUUUAAGGUAAGAUAAAGGGCCAUACGGGUCGGAGGAUCCAGCCAACAACCUUUUUUUAAGACAGAACGAUUUACUAUCAACAAAAUCACCAUGGCCACACAUGAGUAGACUUGUAAAGUCCACCUGGUAGAUAAAGGCCCUUCCCUAACCAAAAAAGAGGGAAACAAGAAAUAUCAACUGAUGGCAUUACAAGAUGAAGUGAUAUUUGCUAUUGGAAUUUAAAUAAUCAUUCACUCAUACAUAUCAUCUUGUCGUCAAAUGAUUACGUAGCAUACCAUUUUUAAUUUCCUUUUUGUUGGCUCUAAUCUAACUUCAUUCACUUAUGUUAAAUUUCAUUCUGUUUUGAUUGCUAAGAAGUAGAAGGGUUAAACAACCUUUUUACAUCUGGGCUCAUUGAAUCUCAAUUCUCUGUAUAUUCAGGAACAUGCCCUCAUUUUGUGAUAGUUUAGUAGACUAAAAGAAGAUACCAUCUAAGAGGUUAUAUCAUAUAAAAAUAGAUACAUCUUGAA